GGGCGUUGCGUUAUCUGUUUGCACGUUGCCAGGACAGGUGACUUCAGACCGUUUAGGCCCAGGGAAGAUGGAGCUUGGUCUUGGAAUACAUGGGGAACCAGGAGCUGCUGUAGCUGACCUUCAACCAGUAGAUGUGGUGGUUUCUCAUGUUCUGAAGGAGAUUUUGUCACCGGAGACCAACUACGUUCCAAUCACGCGUGGGAGUAGAGUCGUGCUCCUGAUUAAUGGAUUAGGAGCAACACCAUUGAUGGAAUUGAUGAUUAUAG
rnacentral:misc_RNA from 1 species